UACAGAGGUCCCAAGCGUUGUUCGGAUUCACUGGGCGUAAAGGGUGCGUAGGCGGUCAGAUAAGUCUGAUGUGAAAUCUUCGAGCUCAACUCGGAAACUGCAUCGGAAACUAUCUGGCUAGAGGAUUGGAGGGGAGACUGGAAUUCCCGGUGUAGCAGUGAAAUGCGUAGAUAUCGAGAGGAACACCAGUGGCGAAGGCGAGUCUCUGGACAAUUCCUGACGCUGAGGCACGAAAGCUAGGGGAGCAAACAGG
rnacentral:rRNA from 1 species